UCGUGACUGCGUGCCUUUUGAAGAAUGAGCCUGCGAGUUUGCGGUGUGUUGCGAGGUUAACCCGGGUGGGGAAGCCGUAGCGAAAGCGAGUCCGAAUAGGGCGUUUUAGUAGCACGCUCAAGACCCGAAGCGGAGUGAUCUAGCCAUGGGCAGGUUGAAGCGGCUGUAAGAGGUCGUGGAGGACCGAACCCACCAGGGUUGAAAACCUGGGGGAUGACCUGUGGUUAGGGGUGAAAGGCCAAUCAAACUCCGUGAUAGCUGGUUCUCCCCGAAAUGCAUUUAGGUGCAGCGUCGUGUGUUUCUUGCCGGAGGUAGAGCACUGGAUAGGCGAUGGGCCCUACCGGGUUACUGACCUUAGCCAAACUCCGAAUGCCGGUAAGUGAGAGCGCGGCAGUGAGACUGUGGGGGAUAAGCUCCAUGGUCGAGAGGGAAACAGCCCAGAGCAUCGACUAAGGCCCCUAAGCGUACGCUAAGUGGGAAAGGAUGUGGAGUCGCACAGACAACCAGGAGGUUGGCUUAGAAGCAGCCACCCUUGAAAGAGUGCGUAAUAGCUCACUGGUCUAGUGAUUCCGCGCCGACAAUGUAGCGGGGCUCAAGCGUACCGCCGAAGUCGUGUCAUUGCAGCAAUACGGCCAACGCCGGCUGUGAUGGGUAGGGGAGCGUCGUGUGCCGGGUGAAGCAGCCGCGGAAGCGAGUUGUGGACGGUUCACGAGUGAGAAUGCAGGCAUGAGUAGCGAUACAAACGUGAGAAACGUUUGCGCCGAUUGACUAAGGGUUCCUGGGUCAAGCUGAUCUGCCCAGGGUAAGUCGGGACCUAAGGCGAGGCCGACAGGCGUAGUCGAUGGAUAACCGGUUGAUAUUCCGGUACCCGCUGUGAAGCGUCAAACAUCGAA
rnacentral:rRNA from 1 species